rnacentral:rRNA from 1 species
CCUACGGGAGGCAGCAGUGAGGAAUAUUGGUCAAUGGGCUUACGCCUGAACCAGCCAAGUCGCGUGAGGGAAGACUGCCCUAUGGGUUGUAAACCUCUUUUGUCAGGGAGCAACGCCGUCUACGUGUAGCCGUACUUAGAUUACCUGAAGAAAAAGCAUCGGCUAACUCCGUGCCAGCGGCCGCGUUAAUACGGAGGAUGCGAGCUUUAUCCGGAUUUAUUGGGUUAAAAGGGUGCGUAGGCGGAAUGUCAAGUCAGCGGUAAACUUUCGGGGCUCAACCUAGUCGUGCCGUUGAAACUGGCAUUCUUGAGUGAGCGAGAGGUAGGCGGAAUGCGUGGUGUAGCGGUGAAAUGCAUAGAUAUCACGCAGAACUCCGAUUGCGAAGGCAGCAUACUGGAGCUCAACUGACGCUCAUGCACGAAAGCGUGGGUAUCGAACAGGAUUAGAUACCCCAGUAGUC